rnacentral:rRNA from 1 species
GAUGAACGCUGGCGGCGUGCCUAAUACAUGCAAGUCGAGCGAACAGACGAGGAGCUUGCUCCUCUGACGUUAGCGGCGGACGGGUGAGUAACACGUGGAUAACCUACCUAUAAGACUGGGAUAACUUCGGGAAACCGGAGCUAAUACCGGAUAAUAUAUUGAACCGCAUGGUUCAAUAGUGAAAGACGGUUUUGCUGUCACUUAUAGAUGGAUCCGCGCCGCAUUAGCUAGUUGGUAAGGUAACGGCUUACCAAGGCAACGAUGCGUAGCCGACCUGAGAGGGUGAUCGGCCACACUGGAACUGAGACACGGUCCAGACUCCUACGGGAGGCAGCAGUAGGGAAUCUUCCGGAAUGGGCGAAAGCCUGACGGAGCAACGCCGCGUGAGUGAUGAAGGUCUUCGGAUCGUAAAACUCUGUCAUUAGGGAAGAACAAAUGUGUAAGUAACUAUGCACGUCUUGACGGUACCUAAUCAGAAAGCCACGGCUAACUACGUG